rnacentral:tRNA from 1 species
GUUUAAAUAGCUCAUUUAGAGUUUAAUAUUGAAGAUAUUAAGGUAAUAAUUUUUAUUUUUAAACA